AUUGAACGCUGGCGGCAGGCCUAACACAUGCAAGUCGAGCGGAUGAAGGGAGCUUGCUCCUGGAUUCAGCGGCGGACGGGUGAGUAAUGCCUAGGAAUCUGCCUGGUAGUGGGGGAUAACGUCCGGAAACGGGCGCUAAUACCGCAGACGUCCUGAGGGAGAAAGUGGGGGAUCUUCGGACCUCACGCUAUCAGAUGAGCCUAGGUCGGAUUAGCUAGUUGGUGGGGUAAAGGCCUACCAAGGCGACGAUCCGUAACUGGUCUGAGAGGAUGAUCAGUCACACUGGAACUGAGACACGGUCCAGACUCCUACGGGAGGCAGCAGUGGGGAAUAUUGGACAAUGGGCGAAAGCCUGAUCCAGCCAUGCCGCGUGUGUGAAGAAGGUCUUCGGAUUGUAAAGCACUUUAAGUUGGGAGGAAGGGCAGUAAGUUAAUACCUUGCUGUUUUGACGUUACCAACAGAAUAAGCACCGGCUAACUUCGUG
rnacentral:rRNA from 1 species